rnacentral:siRNA from 1 species
UUACUGUUUGUUUUUGUCUGUGC